AACGAACGCUGGCGGCAUGCCUAACACAUGCAAGUCGAACGAGACCUUCGGGUCUAGUGGCGCACGGGUGCGUAACGCGUGGGAACCUGCCCUUAGGUUCGGAAUAACUCCCCGAAAGGGGUGCUAAUACCGGAUAAUGUCUUCGGACCAAAGAUUUAUCGCCUGUGGAUGGGCCCGCGUUGGAUUAGCUGGUUGGUAGGGUAAAAGCCUACCAAGGCUACGAUCCAUAGCUGGUCUGAGAGGAAGAUCAGCCACACUGGGACUGAGACACGGCCCAGACUCCUACGCGAGGCAGGAGUGGGGAAUAUUGGAAAAUGGGCGAAAGGCUGAUCCAGCAAUGCCGCGUGAGUGAUGUAGGCCUUAGGGUUGUAAAGCUCUUUUAUCCGGGAUGAUAAUGACGGUACCGGGAGAAUAAGCUCCGGCUAACUCCGUG
rnacentral:rRNA from 1 species